CUCGUCGUUGCAUUAAUAAAAAGUUCGCUCUCGGUCUGGUAUGUGCAGCGCUUCGGAAAUUUGCUUCUCCUAUUUCCUCGAGGGAAAUAAAUAGACGAAAAACACGGAAUUUGGAGCUUGUUCGUAUGUUAGCGAAGCAAUGGGGCGGUUCGGAGUAAUGACUGCGACAUGGCAAGACCGGCAAACACUACAGACAUGCGCAAUUUUGCACCGAUCCAUACAAAGAAAUUUCUGCUUGUUUACAGCUGCGGCCAUUUUGGACGCUCAUUUCGUUAAUUGUUCCGGUAACGAGCGAGAUCGGUGUCCACUCCAAUUGUACGGUUUUAGUGUCUUUACAUGCUAACGAUUAUUACCACAGAAAAAACAGUGAGAAAUCCAGGCCCAGACACCGGAGGAUGCACUGAUCAGAGGUACCAUCCGGUAUUAGGCACUUUCACGCAUUUAAAUGCUAAUCUUGUGUAAUGGGACGCAUACCUGGAACUUGCGGGGACGCAUUUACAGCCAACACACAAAUUUUCACGAAAUCAUGCAAAUUUUCAGGUGAUAACAGGAUCUGUGACCUCAUUCAAGGACUAGCCGGGAAAAAUUGCUAUUUUGAGCACGAUAUCGAUUGCGACGUGGCGUUUUCCAAUGACAAUACAGGAAAAACACUUUUCUUAAUUAAAAAUAUUGAAAAAAUUCCAAGAAUUGUUUCAGGUCGUCGGUAAUUACGUUUAGGGCAUUGGCAGAAGUAAACGCCACUAAUGACCCCCCUCAGGUUAGGUUAGUAAAUAAAAAAAAUCCCAAAAAUACCUAUUUUUCCAGCAGAGGUAAAAAUGCGAAUCCCACGCAAAGGAAGUGUUUUACGAAAUAAAACUAAACGUCGUAAUAAUUUUUUAUUAAAACAAACAUUUACAAUACAAUAGAAUACAUUGAACACCCGAUUUACUUUCCUCUUGUAGGCUUAUUUUCCCUCAGACUUUAUACAAAAAUGUACCAGUUGAUUACUUGUAGCAUCAAAAUUGUUUAAUAAAAAUAAAAAAGUCAGCAUUUCUCUA